GUCACCCAAAGAAGAAGGAAUCCACUUGAAAGGUAAGUUUCCACGAGAUUCCCCUUUAUCCUCUACUAAAAUAAGAAAAUUCAAAAAAAAAGAGGUCAGUUAGUAUCCUCGAACUUUGUCCCCAGUCAGCCAGCGUUAGGGUUUUAAACCUUGAACUGAGCUUUUUUAUUCAAUCAGUAUUAGGGUUUUAAACCCUGAACUGAACUCUUUCCUUUAGUCAGCAUUAGGGUUUUAAACCCUAAACUGAACUUUUUCCUUUGGUCAGCAUUAGGGUUUUAAACCCUAAACUGAACUUUUUCCUUUGGUAAGCAUUAGGGUUUUAAACCCUAAACUGAACUUUUUCCAUUCAGUCAGCAUUAGGGUUUUAAACCCUAAACUAAACUUUUCCAUUCAGUCAGCAUUAGGGUUUUAAACCCUAAACUGAACUUUUUCCAUUCAGUCAGCAUUAGGGUUUUAAACCCUAAACUGAACUUUUUCCUUUAAUCAGUAUUAGGGUUUUAAACCCUAAACUGAACUUUUCCACUCAGUCAGCAUUAGGGUUUUAAACCCUAAACUGAACUUUUUUCAUUCAGUCAGCAUUAGGGUUUUAAACCCUAAACUGAACUUUUUCCUUUAAUCAGCAUUAGGGUUUUAAACCCUGAACUGAAUUUUUCCAUUCAGUCAGCAUUAGGGUUUUAAAUCCUAAACUGAACUUUUCC
rnacentral:lncRNA from 1 species